AAAUUAGCGCGCUAUUAGCUGCUAAUAGCGGGAACAAUCAUUUAGCGUUAAAAUCCCCAUAGCUUAGCAGUCCUCUUCCACAAACGCUAAAUAGCGCUAUAGCGUCCGCUAUAGCGCGCUAUUUAGAACAGGAUUUAAAAACACACACGCAUAGCCCAUCUUAUGCCGUGUGGUACAUGUAACUUCACAUGCAUGGCCCCUACCUACAUCAAACAUGGCAAGAGUAUACGUAGUGGAACAAAAAAAGUACUUUUUAGGCACAAAAGUGUUUACACAUAUAUAUCCUCAUCAAUUUAAAAAAAAUACUCCAUACUCAUAAAAAAAGUUGUUUUAGAUAAAGUUGAUCGGCGGCGACAAGCUAAGCCAUGCAUGUUGGUGGUUUGGUCGUUGCGGCAGCAAUAGUUAUUAAUUAGUCAGUGAUAUGAUGGUUAUCUGUGCGUGGCGGUACUGCGGUAGUGGUACGACUGGAUCGAGUUUUGCGUGCAGCCAGUUUCAGGGGUCUUUUUUUUUUCCUACAUAGAUAUUUUUCCCAUGAGUUGAAACCUCUAGAGUUAAUCUACCUCUGUAUGCAUCUCCUUGUUUCAGUGCUAGAGAUAUAGUUUAGGGCACUCACAAUGCAGACUCUAUCAUAGAGUCUAAAGUUAUUUAUUACCUCAAACAAUGUGAACUUAGAGUCUAAAUAAGACUUGAAGUCUUAUUUUUUUCUACCUCUUUCUUCAAUAAAUAUCCUGCCACAUCAGCAAAGUAUCAUAAAUAAUAUGUAAUUAAUUGUCUUGGACUCUGUGAUAGAGUCUUGCAUUGUGCAGAUUCUAUCAUAGAGUCUAAAGUUAUUUAUUACCUCGAACAAUGUGGACUUAGAGUCUAAAUAAGACCUAGGGUCUUAUUUUUUCUACCUCUUUCUUCAAUAAUAUGCUGCCACAUCAGCAAAAAGUCAUAAAUAAUAUGUAAUUAAUUGUCUUGGACUCUGUGAUAGAGUCUUGCAUUGUGAGUGCCCUUAGUGUGUUGCAAAAUGAACUAUUAUUAGAGAGAGCAGGUAGCUUAGGGCACUCACAAUGCAGACUCUAUCAUAGAGUCUAAAGUUAUUUAUUACCUCGAAUAAUGUGGACUUGGAGUCUAAAUAAGACUUGAAGUCUUAUUUUUUCUACCUCUUUCUUCAAUAAAUAUGCUGCCAUAUCAGCAAAAUAUCAUAAAUAAUAUAUAAUUAAGUGUCUUGGACUCUGUGAUAGAGUCUUGCGUUGUGAGUGCCCUUAGUACCUAAUACCUGUACGUGAGCCGGCCGGCUAGAUGGCCAGUUGCAGAUCGAUCGAAGUCAAUGCACACACAAAAAAAAAAAAGGUUUGAAUGGUCUCCGUCAGAUUCGUCGCUUUGAAAAUGCAGUGGCAGAUGAAACGUACGUGUCACUGUCUCCCCACGUGCGUGGUUGGAUUAAUGGGCUGCUAAAUGCUCACUGUGCGCGGAUCAGAUGCGUUCCCUGGUCUGGUCGUCGAUGUCGGCUAGCAGCAACCAUCGCCGCCGUGUCAUCGUCGAUCUUCCUGUUAUCACUUUAUUAUCUGUUAACUAAUACUCAAUCCAUCCCAAAUUGUAAGUCGUUUGACUUUUUUAAUAACAAGUUUGACCA
rnacentral:lncRNA from 1 species